CGAACGGGUGAGUAACGCGUGAGCAACCUGACCUAAAGAGGGGGGUAACAUUCGGAAACGGGUGCUAAUACCGCAUAAGACCACAUUGUCACAUGACAGAGGGGUCAAAGGAGCAAUCCGCUUUGGGAGGGGCUCGCGUCCCAUUAGGUAGUUGGUGAGGUAACGGCCCACCAAGCCUGCGAUGGGUAGCCGAGCUGAGAGGCUGAACGGCCACACUGGAACUGAGACACGGUCCAGACUCCUACGGGAGGCAGCAGUGGGGAAUAUUGGGCAAUGGGCGAAAGCCUGACCCAGCAACGCCGCGUGAAGGAUGAAGGUUUUCGGAUUGUAAACUUCUGUCCUCAAGGACGAAAAAAAUGACGGUACUUGGGGAGGAAGCCCCGGCUAACUACGUGCCAGCAGCCGCGGUAAUACGUAGGGGGCAAGCGUUGUCCGGAAUUACUGGGCGUAAAGGGCGAGUAGGUGGUUUAUUAAGUCAGAAGUGAAAACUCCAGGCUCAACCGGGGACGUGCAUUUGAAACUGGUAGACUUGAGUGCAAGAGAGGGAAGUGGAAUUCCUAGUGUAGCGGUGAAAUGCGUAGAUAUUAGGAGGAACACCAGUGGCGAAGGCGACUUCCUGGCUUGUAACUGACACUGAGGCGCGAAAGCGUGGGGAUCAAACAGGAUUAGAUACCCUGGUAGUCCACGCCGUAAACGAUGAGUGCUAGGUGUCGGGGGUAUCGACCCCCUCGGUGCCACAGCUAACGCAAUAAGCACUCCGCCUGGGGAGUACGGCCGCAAGGUUGAAACUCAAAGGAAUUGACGGGGGCCCGCACAAGCGGUGGAGUAUGUGGUUUAAUUCGACGCAACGCGAAGAACCUUACCAAGGCUUGACAUCCCGUGACCGCCAUGGAAACAUGGUUUCCCUUCGGGGCAAGGAGACAGGUGGUGCAUGGUUGUCGUCAGCUCGUGUCGUGAGAUGUUGGGUUAAGUCCCGCAACGAGCGCAACCCCUGUGGUUAGUUGCCAGCACGUAAUGGUGGGCACUCUAGCCAGACUGCCGGCGAUAAGUCGGAGGAAGGUGGGGACGACGUCAAAUCAUCAUGCCCCUUAUGUCCUGGGCUACACACGUACUACAAUGGCCGUUACAAUGGGAAGCCAAAGAGUAAUCUGGAGCAAAUCCCUUAAAAGCGGUCCCAGUUCGAAUUGUGGGCUGAAACUCGCCCACAUGAAGUCGGAAUUGCUAGUAAUUGCGGAUCAGCAUGCCGUGGUGAAUGCGUUCCCGGGUCUUGUACACACCGCCCGUCACACCAUGGGAGUUGGGAGCGCCCGAAGCCGGUGAGCU
rnacentral:rRNA from 1 species